AAUUUCAUGGCUGCAGUCACCAUCUGCAGUGAUUUUGGAGCCCUAAAAAGCUCUUGCUAAAUUAUAAACACUUUCACUUUAUACCCGAGAUGCCUGGUUCUCUCAGUGCACGUAGGGGGAAAGAAAGCAACGUGUUUUUGACUGACUGACUGACUUGCUGGAGUUCUGAUACAUGGACUCAGUGGUGAAGUCAGUAAAGCUAAUGAGUGUUCAUUUCUAAAUGAACUAGAAUUAGGUCAAAAUACUAGUUUCCAAUCACACAGACUUUUUCUGAUGAUCUUUUAUUGUUGUAGCAUAAAGAUACUGCUUUCUCUUUGUUUUUGAGAACGUUAGUUGUGUCGUCCCAAGUAAAAACUAUGGCGUCGUGAAAGAAAUCACUUUCACGUAUAAGAAGUCACUUUCACUCAUUACAGUUUUUGCUUGGGACAUCUCAGCUAACAUGUUCUCAGAAACAAAGGGAAAGCAGGAUCUUUAUGCUCGGUCAUUUCUCUCACCCUCAGGAGUAGCCUCAAAUGCUUGCUCCCAGCAGUUACUAGGAUGCCCUAUGUUUUCCCACCAUCAUUACCUUUAUCAUCACGUCAUCACAUUCAUUAUAGUCACCCCUAUCAAUUCAGCGCCUAGAAUGAGCCAGGCUUCUUAUCCAUUUACAAUUGUCACCGCUUUUAUCUACACACAUACAUAUAUUGGCUCAGUUUGCUGGCUCUUGUUCCCCUCAAGCUGAUAUCAGACUGCUUAUUCAUUAGGUGAAAAUGGUAUUAACCAUUUAAAUGAGGAAGGACAAAAGAGUAUCAUACUGAGUGUCCGUUUUGAAUGAUUGGUAGCGGCUGCCAAAGCACUGAAUUAAGAAAACAUUUUAAGGCUCUGUCCACUCUGUCCAGGCUUUGUAGGAAAAAAAUGCUACAACUGAUUCACAAUGUCUGCCUUGAAGACAGAAUAGAAAUAGAAUGAGUUACAUGCAGGACUUAAGGGAUGGUCAUCCUUAGGCUCAGUUUCCUUGUUUUUUAUAAGCUACUUAGAGACACGAAUAAUGUUUCAACUUUCCAUCAUGUUGCAGCAGUGUUCAUUUCCAAAUCAUUUCUUUAUUUCUUCACUCAUCCACUUAUUCCUGCUGAGUCCUCCUUGACUCAGAAACUUCUGUUCCCUGAUGCUGAACCUGUUCCCUAUGCUGAACCUCAUAUACUCCAAAAAGCUUCUGCAGGGA
rnacentral:lncRNA from 1 species